rnacentral:rRNA from 1 species
GAUGAACGCUAGCGAUAGGCUUAACACAUGCAAGUCGAGGGGCAGCAUGGUCUUAGCUUGCUAAGACUGAUGGCGACCGGCGCACGGGUGCGUAACGCGUAUGCAACUUGCCUCACAGAGGGGGAUAACCCGUCGAAAGACGGACUACUACCGCGUCCACUCUAUUUUGGGCAUCCAAGGUAGAGGAAAUGAACUUCGCUGUGAGAUAGGCAUGCGUCCCAUUAGCUAGUUGGUGAGGUAACGGCUCACCAAGGCGACGAUGGGUAGGGGAACUGAGAGGUUGAACCCCCACACUGGUACUGAGACACGGACCAGACUCCUACGGGAGGCAGCAGUGAGGAAUAUUGGUCAAUGGGCGAGGGCCUGAACCAGCCAAGUCGCGUGAAGGAGGACUGUCUUAUGGAUUGUAAACUUCUUUUGUAGGGGAAUAAAGAGGGGCACGUGUGCCCCAGUGAAUGUACCCUACGAAUAAGCAUCGGCUAACUCCGUG